UCUUGUUUUUCUUGGAAUGCUGCCAAUUAACCCUACUUCCAUUGUCACCCUUCCCAAGUUCUCCAUUGUUACAUUCUCAUUUUCUCAUUCUAACUCCAUCUCUAUUUCGUUGCAACGCUGCCUCUGACCCAUCCUCUUCCUAUUUCAACUUCGUUAGUGAUGCUGAUGCCACUUCUGCAGGCACCGACAGAAUUUUCGGGAAUUCUCUGGCGAAGAAGCGAACGGAGGAUAACACCAAAAUUAGGAAAAUUAAUGCCUGGGAAAAGCCUUGGUCGCGCAACCAAGAGAGCUACUUGGCUGAUGAUAGUGAACCUCUUCCUCUUCCCAUGACUUAUCAUGACACUUCCCCUGUUCCGCCCGACGAAAUUGAUCUUCGAUUUCGCUGUGAUCCCCUAAUACAGGAUUUCAAGGAAGUUGUCUAUGAGUGGACUGGGAAAUGUCGGAGUUGUCACUGAACGUGAUUUGUAAGUUACUACAACAAAGGAGGGAAGGAGACCAUCUGUAAAUGCAUACCUUUGCCUUGGAAUCGACACAAGUAUUUCGGUUCAUCAACAGGAGCUUCUUUGAUACAUCCCAGAGUUAAAGUUAGCUAAGGUGCAUGUCAGAGGAAAGGUUGACGACACUUGCAGCGGUAUGGACUUCAGCGUUUCGCCAAACCAUUUGGGUCCGGCUAUUAAAGAUUAAGAUGGUCGAUUGAAGAAGCUUGGAACUUUCUCCAAGUGUUGGUAUGUCCUCAUGUUCGGUGAUGCUAUCUUUUCAUAUUAUAGCUUACGAAGACUUCAUUAGAAUUUAAGAGUACUCGCAUUUCCAUUAUGAUCUUUGGAUUCUUUUGUAUUAAGGCCUAUAUGGCAUAUUGACUUUUAUUGUCUAAGUCCAGAUUGGUACUCUUUAGAUGGUUUUUAAUAUGAGAAAUUUUUAGAAGAUCGUACGUAUGCUUUCAUGAUUGAUAUGUAUUAAGUCUAAGUAUACUUAACACAGUAUUAAA